GAAAGUUCAGCGGAAGCAUUACACCGUGUCAGUAUUUAAAAGCGCCAACAAAGUGAAAGAAUGAACAGGCGCUAAACCAGAUAUAUUCCUGGACAAAUCUGUGUUAAUUUACACGAAAUAGUCUCAGUCGCUUCACUAACAUGCCUGAGGAAACAACAGCUGCUUCAAACUCUGCAAGCAUGGAAGUAAAGUCCUGCUCUUCAAGUGCUGUUGCAGCAGACAGCUCAGUCGACGUGAUGGCUGAGGCAAAGAAAUUGAUUGGUGCUGGGAACAGGCAUCUGGUGAUGGGUGACGUAGUUUCUGCAGUCAACGUGUUCCAGGAGGCUUGUGGCAUGUUGGCUGAGCGGUAUGGGGACACUGCAGAUGAAUGUGGAGAGGCCUUUUUCCUGUGUGGGAAGUCUCUGCUGGAGCUUGCCAGGAUGGAGAACACUGUCCUGGGUGAUGCUCUGGAGGGAGUCCCUGAGGAGUCAUCUGAAGAGGGGGAGAAGCAGGAGAACUCCAAGUUUGAGAGCGCUGACAACUUGGCUGAUGAUGAUGAUGACGAAGAUGAAGGGGAAGGCACUGCUGAAGACGAGGAGAGUGAAGAGGAAGUAGGUAACCUGCAGCUGGCCUGGGAGAUGCUGGAGGUUGCCAAGGUCAUCUAUAAAAGGAAGGAGAAUGAGGCGGACCAAUUGAUGGCAGCUCAGGCCUAUCUGAAGCUGGGAGAAGUUGGUGCUGAAUCUGGUAACUACCCUGCAGCGGUGGAGGACUUCCAGGAUUGCCUGGCCCUGCAGCUGAAGCACCUGCCCACCCACAGCCGCCUGCUGGCUGAGACUCACUACCAGCUGGGAAUGACUUACUGCUACACAGGCCAGUACAGCCAUGCCAUCCAGCACUACAGCAGCUCUGUCAAGGUCAUUGAGGGCCGCCUGGCCAUGCUCCAGGAGGUGCUUGACAAGGGUGAGAAUGGUGCUGAGGAGGGGAAGACUGAGCUGGAGGAGCUGAAGCUGCUGCUGCCUGACAUUGCUGAGAAGGUGGAGGACGCCAAGGAGAGUCAGAGGACGGCAGGAUCGGCCUCCGUGGCCAUACAACAGACCCUGGCCGGGGCCUCUACUUCAUCAGCAUUCCCAGCUUCAGCAGAAACAAGUGGACCAUCAGCAUUCGAAGCCAGUCAGAUCGCUGUCACGUCAGCAGCUGAUGGUGCGUCCUCCAACUCUGCAUUAGACAUUUCCCACCUGGUCAGGAAAAAGAGGAAAAUGGAGGAGAGCCCCAUAAAGGACACAGAUGCUAAAAAGAACAAGCAGGAAACUACAGUUAAUGGCAGCGGAGACUCCGGCUCUGCCAGCAACGAAGUCCAGGAGAAAGGGGCACAGGAGCCUGCCAAGCCGUCCUCUGACUCUCCUGCGUGAUUUGACUUCCUGAUCAGCCAGCCAGCAGAGCAUGCCUGUCCCCUAACACUUGUUUCUGUACCAAGUGGUUAGUAAUUUGUCUGGGUAGCUGUCGGCAUGUUUUCCCAGGGUCUGAUGCACAACCUACAGGGAGGUCAUUUGACCCUAUUUUAUUUAUUUUUUUAAUCACUCAUCCGUUUUUAGAUUGCUGUACACGAUACUCGUCUGUAUUGAGGGUGGGGUGGUGGCGUGUCUGAGCUGGCUGGGCUGUCACUGUUCUGGCUUGGGGCUAUAAUAGUCAAAGGUUAACUAGGAUCUGUGUCCAAGUAGGAUCAGGGUUAACCAAUUAUUCUUAACAUAGGAUAUAUUAAAUGUCUAUGGUGUCACAACACAUUUAGGCAGUAUCCAACAGUCUAAUAAAGCAAUCCAGGCCGAAAACAUCUGCGUUCAGACCCCUUGACUGUAUCCUCAUUUUGUUACGUUACAACUUUGCUCUUAAAUGAAAUAAAUCUACACACACUA